ACGCUCGACACCUACGGGAGACAGCAGUCGGGAAUAUUGCGCAAUGGAGGAAACUCUGACGCAGUGACGCCGCGUAUAGGAAGAAGGUUUUCGGAUUGUAAACUAUUGUCGUUAGGGAAGAUACAAGACAGUACCUAAGGAGGAAGCACCGGCUAACUAUGUGCCACAGCCGCGGUAAUCUGAGCGGGCUGGCAAGGC
rnacentral:rRNA from 1 species